GCUUCGGCCAUAGCCUUUCGCAUCUCGGGCGUGGGCCGGGUAACCGUGUCCGAGCGCAGAUCUACGACUGUCAUGGGGCCGAGAUUAAAGCGCUAGAGGCACAUCUAGAGCCAUAGAGCGGUCGUGGGUCAGCCGAAGAAGACCUCGGCAGUUUCGUACAGCUCGGUUGUGAGGGUCUUCAGCUCGCCCACUGCGUCGCCGAUCGGGACUCGGAUGAUGUCCGUUCCGUGCAGCGCCACCAUCUUGCCGUAGUCCCGCUCGUGCGCCGCGUCGAUCGCGCCGAUACCGAAGCGGGUCGCCAGGACUCGGUCGAACGCGGUCGGCGUACCGCCGCGCUGAACGUGCCCCAGGAUCGUGAC
rnacentral:misc_RNA from 1 species